rnacentral:lncRNA from 10 species
AACGGGAUAAGGAGUCGGGGGAGGAGUAAAGGUGAAUUUGAAUGCUCUUGGAUUGUUUUUUCCCUGGGUGGGCCCAGGUCUGGGAUGGGUUCACGCCCACCCUGCCUGUCCUCCACCCCCCAUGGCAGAGGCCUGUCUGGUCCACUGGGAGGACCCACCUGCCAUGUCUGGUCAGGAGGCGGAGGCUGAGGCUCUCCUCAGAACCCAGCCUCGCUGUGUCGGGCUAGGCCAAGCUCAGGACGGGACUCUGUCCCGGGCCAGGGUCCCUCGGCUCACCCUGCUCUGGGAAGGGGCUCUCUCCUGGCCAGGCUGCGCACUUCCUAUCGCUUCCACCUGCAGGCCAGGCUGUCCCCAGCCCAAACCUCCUUAGCACAUCUCCUCUGACUAUGGGGGCUGGGGUGGCUUAAGAGAGGGUGAUUGGAGGGCUGGAGAGGGUGGCAGGCCCUGUCUGACCCUUGCUUGAACUGGGUGGGCUGGCCCCAGCUGCCUGGACCUGAACCUGAGGACUGGGGUGAACUGGAAGGCAGAGGGUCCUUGGCGGGAAGGUCCGUGCCCACUGCUCCCCUGUCAGCAGCCACUCUUGGCGUCUCUGGGACUCUCAGGCCGGUGGAAAACCCCCUCCUGUCCUCCCCACAUCGUCCCGUCCGUGUCCCUGCCUCAGCCAGGACCAGGCCCCUGUCGGGCUCAGGGCAUCAGGCUGUGGCUGCGUCCACAGAAGCCCUGCGUGUGUGCACUGCUGGUGCCCCUGGCAUUGGAACGUCCAGGUUCUGAGUCCCCCAAGGGCGGCCAUGGGUCUUUCUUGUGGCUGGUGAUGCCUUCCCUGGGUCUGCCCUGAGUGGCCCCCGCUGCCCUGGGUUCCCAGCUCUCUGCAGGGCGCAGCCUCAGUGUGCUAGCCCCGUCCCGCCUCUUCAGCCAUCCCAGGCCUCAGGACCUGAGCUCUCCGACGCCCACAUGACAUGGCUGAACUUUGUCCGGCGGCCGGACGACAGCGCCUUGAGGAAGCGGUGCGGAAGCAGGGACAAGAAGCAGCGGGACCUCUUGGGUCCCCCAGGACCUCCUGGGCCCCCCGGCCCCCCAGGACCUCCAGGUGCAGAAGUUACCCCGGAGACUCUGCUUCGCGAGUUUCAGGAGCUGCUGAAAGGUCAGCCGCCCCGCACUGCCCAGAGUCCCGACGUGCCUGGGCCCCACGCUGACCCUGUUGGCGGCCUGUGCCCUCCUCCCCACAGAGGCCACGGAGCACCGGUUCUCAGGGCUCCUGGACCCACUGCUGCCCCAGGGGGUGGGCCUGUGGCUGGUGGGAGAGGCCUUUCAUUGCCGGCUGCAGGGCCCCCGCCGGGUGGACAAGCGGACACUGGUGGAGCUGCAUGGUUUCCAGGCUGUGAGUGGGGCCAGGAGCCCAGAGGGGGGCACUGGGUGGGGCCCCACAGGCAAGACGGGACCACACACACUGUCUGACACUCACGGGGCACCCACGUGAGUUGGGAGUUGGGAGGGGCUCGGAGGGCGAGGGGCUGCCUCGGGUGAGGGUUGGGAGGCCCUGGGGUCCCAGACCACACCUUAUGCCCAGACCGAGGAUGGGUUCCCGGUGGCCGGGAGGCAGGGAGACCCUCCUGGGUGUGGACUCGAGGGUCAGUCCUGUCGGUGCCCGUGGUGAGAGUGAGGGUCCUGGGGAGUCCUGCUCCAAGUGAGGGGCUGUUGGUUGCAGGCACCUUCCCCAGGCGGGGUCUGUGGGGUGGGGGCCAGGCCCUUCGCUGGCCGCUCACCCACUGCCCCUCACAGCCUGCUGCCCAAGGUGCCUUCCUGCGAGGCUCCGGUCUGAGCCUGGCCUCAGGUCGGUUCACAGCCCCCGCGUCCCCUGGCCUCAGGUCGGUUCACAGCCCCCGCGUCCGGCAUCUUCCAGUUCUCUGCCAGUCUGCACGUGGGUGAGCCGGAUGGGGCUGGCUGUGCCGUGUGCUGUGACGGGGCUGGGGCUGAGCUUUCUGGGGGCGCCUGGCAUCGCCAGCCCCGGGCACGGGUCCCAUUAGAGAUCUGCCCCCUGCCCCAUGGGGGCCUUGGACUGGGCAUGGGGUCCCUGCUGCACACCCGGCCUCAGGCC